rnacentral:rRNA from 1 species
ACCGGGAUUGCCUCAGUAACGGCGAGUGAAGCGGCAAGAGCUCAAAUUUGAAAUCUGGCCCCUCCGGGGUCCGAGUUGUAAUUUGCAGAGGAUGCUUCGGGUGCGGCCCCUGUCUAAGUGCCCUGGAACGGGCCGUCAGAGAGGGUGAGAAUCCCGUCUUGGGCAGGGUGCCCGUGCCCGUGUGAAGCUCCUUCGACGAGUCGAGUUGUUUGGGAAUGCAGCUCAAAAUGGGUGGUAAAUUUCAUCUAAAGCUAAAUACCGGCCGGAGACCGAUAGCGCACAAGUAGAGUGAUCGAAAGAUGAAAAGCACUUUGAAAAGAGAGUUAAACAGCACGUGAAAUUGUUGAAAGGGAAGCGCUUGCAACCAGACUCGGCCUCGGGGUUCAGCCAGCAUUCGUGCUGGUGUACUUCCCCGGGGCCGGGCCAGCGUCGGUUUGGGCGGCCGGUCAAAGGCCCCAGGAAUGUAUCGUCCUCCGGGACGUCUUAUAGCCUGGGGUGCAAUGCGGCCAGCCUGGACCGAGGAACGCGCUUCGGCACGGACGCUGGCGUAAUGGUCGCAAACGACCCGUCUUGAACC